ACUGGUUGCUUUUUCAUGGGUGGCUUGACCCAGAAACAGUGGGCUGCCAUGGACAGAAGACAUGAUUCUACCACGUUAGCACCAACUGAUCUCUCUCCGGAGCAGCCCAAGGUUGCGAGACACCUCUUCUGGUAUGUGCAACUGCAGUUGCUUCUGCUGGAAACUGCUGACGAAACUUUUGGCCCUCGCUUGACCAGGCCAGUUGGACUCCCUCCUUCUCAGUUUGCCCAGACAACACCCCCAGUCUCAACCUGGGCAAAGGGAAACGUUUGCACUGCCCCUUCUACUCUGCGUAAGUGGAAUCCAAAGCAAUUUAUAAGUAGGUGAUGGUGAUGCAACCUACUGGAAGUACUACAGAAGAAAGAGCCGGCUGGGAGAAGACCACGAGCUACAUUUUGGAUGUUAAAUUUAAGAUAAACAAGACCCACAUGAACCCUAUUUCAUGCAGCCAGAGCUCUCCUGCCAGGGUUGGUCAAACCACCACAAACCAGCAGGAUCCCGCAUCAGCCCAGCCCUGGGUACUUGCCUUUCCUGCCACAGGCUUCUGAACAGUCUGACCCACAGGGAACAAACGCAGAAGCCCGCCCCGCCAGCCCAGGGAGGAGGAAGGUUAGGGAAGUGGGCUGGAAGGGAGCCUGGGCUCUCUCUGCGUAAGAACAAACAGCGGAGGACCAGCUGGGAAGGUUCUCGGGCAGAAGGAAAGGCUCUCUUAUGUAGGAGGUCUACAGUCAGACCACAGUUCAAAGGUAUCCGUGUG